GUCCAUGCCGUAAACGAUGUCUACUAGCCGUUGGGGCCUUUGAGGCUUUAGUGGCGCAGCUAACGCGAUAAGUAGACCGCCUGGGGGAGUACGGUCGCAAGACUAAAACUCAAAUGAAUUGGACGGGGGGCCCGCACAAGCGGUGGAGCAUGUGGUUUUAAUUCGAUGCAACGCGAAGAACCUUACCUGGCCUUGACAUACUAGAAACUUUCCAGAGAUGGAUUGGUGCCUUCGGGAAUCUAGAUACAGGUGCUGCAUGGCUGUCGU
rnacentral:rRNA from 1 species